GACAACAUGGCCGAGUGGUUUAAGGCGCACGCCUGCUAAGCGUGUAUCUUCGGAUGCCCAGGUUCGAUCCCUGGUGUUGUCG
rfam:Talaromyces stipitatus ATCC 10500 scf_1105507295517 genomic scaffold, whole genome shotgun sequence.